rnacentral:rRNA from 1 species
GAUGAACGCUGGCGGCGUGCCUAAUACAUGCAAGUCGAGCGAACAGACGAGGAGCUUGCUCCUCUGACGUUAGCGGCGGACGGGUGAGUAACACGUGGAUAACCUACCUAUAAGACUGGGAUAACUUCGGGAAACCGGAGCUAAUACCGGAUAAUAUAUUGAACCGCAUGGUUCAAUAGUGAAAGACGGUUUUGCUGUCACUUAUAGAUGGAUCCGCGCCGCAUUAGCUAGUUGGUAAGGUAACGGCUUACCAAGGCAACGAUGCGUAGCCGACCUGAGAGAGUGGUCGGCCGCGCUGGAGCGGGGACACGGUGCAGACUCCUACGGGAGGCAGCAGGAGGGAAGAUUCCGGAAGGGGCUAAAACAUAACGAAUCAACGACGCGUGAGUGAUAAAGGUCUUCGGAUCGUAAAACUCUGUUAUGAGGCAAGAGCAGAUGUGUAGGUAACUAUGCACGUCUUGACGGUACCUAAUCAGAAAGCCACGGCUCACUACGUG